UGACCUAUAUUUUUGUUACACCCUGUAUAGAGGAGAAUUUUAAUUCUCGUCCAGUUUUCCUCCAUAGUUUUAUAUAUUUGACAUCUUUUUCUUACCAAUAGUAACUGUUUGCUUAUUCGUCCUUGUAACCCGUUUUAAUCUCAGUCUUAUGUUUCCUACCAAAACAUUGUUAUGUUAUGACUGACUGUACUGAAUUUAUAUAGCUUUUAUUAUACACAUGAAAUCUAUCUGGAUAUGAACCACUUCGAUCUCCAGGUGUAACGGUAACGAUUGACUUCUGUAUGAGCUUUCGUAACGUUCGGUUGUGUGACAGUUCAGUGUGGAAGUGAUAAUUCAAAAAAAACGCAGGCGGCAAAAACAAAAUAGGAACUAUAUAAUAGAGAAAAACAAGAAGAAGGACAAGGACCACAUAGGACCAAAAAAAAAAAAAUAGAUCUGAAGUUGACA